rnacentral:rRNA from 1 species
GAGGCAGCAGUGGGGAAUAUUGCACAAUGGGGGAAACCCUGAUGCAGCGACGCCGCGUGAGUGAAGAAGCGUUUCGGCGCGUAAAGCUCUGUCAGCGGGGAAGAAACACGGUUCGCGAGAGCCGCGGACGGUACCCGACCAAGAAGCCCCGGCUAACUACGUGCCAGCAGCCGCGGUAAUACGUAGGGGGCAAGCGUUAUCCGGAUUCACUGGGUGUAAAGGGAGCGUAGACGGCGAGACAAGUCUGGAGUGAAAGGCCGGGGCCCAACCCCGGGACUGCUCUGGAAACUGCCUGGCUGGAGUACAGGAGAGGUAAGUGGAAUUCCUAGUGUAGCGGUGAAAUGCGUAGAUAUUAGGAGGAACACCAGUGGCGAAGGCGGCUUACUGGACUGUAACUGACGUUGAGGCUCGAAAGCGUGGGGAGCAAACAGGAUUAGAUACCCUGGUAGUCCACGCCGUACACGAUGAUCACUAGGUGUCGGGGGUUAGAAGGCCCCCG